ACGCUCGACACCUACGGGAGGUAGCAGUGGGGAAUAUUGCACAAUGGAGGAAACUCUGAUGCAGCGAUGCCGCGUGAGGGAAGAAGGUUUUCGGAUUGUAAACCUCUGUCUUUGGGGACGAUAAUGACGGUACCCAAGGAGGAAGCUCCGGCUAACUACGUGGCAGCAGCCGCGGUAAUCUGAGCGGGCUGGCAAGGC
rnacentral:rRNA from 1 species